ensembl:ncRNA R13H7.19 ncRNA
GAUGACGACAAUCGGAAGACGGAAAGACGGAUUAAAUACAGAUGAAGACAAGAAAACUUGAUGGAAACUAAAGAGGUGUUUUUAAGAAGUAUAUACUUACAAACUUCC